GAUGAACGCUGGCGGCGUGCCUAAUACAUGCAAGUCGAGCGAACGGACGAGAAGCUUGCUUCUCUGAUGUUAGCGGCGGACGGGUGAGUAACACGUGGAUAACCUACCUAUAAGACUGGGAUAACUUCGGGAAACCGGAGCUAAUACCGGAUGAUAUUUUGAACCGCAUGGUUCAAAAGUGAAAGACGGUCUUGCUGUCACUUAUAGAUGGAUCCGCGCUGCAUUAGCUAGUUGGUAAGGUAACGGCUUACCAAGGCAACGAAGCAUAGCCGACCUGAGAGGGGGGACCGCCAACACUGAACCUGAGACACGGCCCAGACUCCAAGGGGAGGCAGAGGCAGGAAAUCUUCGGAAUGGGGCAAAGCCUGACGGAGCAACGCCGCGUGAGUGAUGAAGGUCUUCGGAUCGUAAAACUCUGUUAUUAGGGAAGAACAUAUGUGUAAGUAACUGUGCACAUCUUGACGGUACCUAAUCAGAAAGCCACGGCUAACUACGUG
rnacentral:rRNA from 1 species